CCUACGGGAGGCAGCAGUAGGGAAUAUUGCGCAAUGGAGGAAACCCUGAUGCAGCAACGCCGCGUGAGUGAAGAAGUAUAUCGGUAUGUAAAGCUCUGUCAUCAGGGAAGAAAAUGACGGUACGUGACAAGUAAGCACCGGCUCAAUACGUUACAGCAGCCGCGGUGAUACGUAGGUGCCAAGAGUUAUUCGGAUUUGCUGGGGGUAAAGGGAGCGUGGACGGCAUGGAAAGUCUGGAGUGAAAGGCGGGGGCCCAACCCCCGGACUGCUCUGGAAACUGUCAGGCUGGAGUGCAGGAGAGGGAAGUGGAAUUCCGAGUGUAGCGGUGAAAUGCGUAGAUAUUAGGAGGAACACCAGUGGCGAAGGCGGCUCACUGGAUUGUAACUGACGUUGAGGCUCGAAAGCGUGGGGAGCAAACAGGAUUAGAUACCCCUGUAGUC
rnacentral:rRNA from 1 species